ACUGAUUUUUAGACAAAAAUAAAGACAUAAAACAACAUCAAAGUUCGCCCCAGCGCCGCAGAUUGCACCCAAGAAACGCCGCCUGGCGCAAGAGGACGCCACCGAGGGGAAAGAAAGUCGCUCCCGGUCAGAUCAGAACUUUACUUUUCUUUUCGGGGAUUUUUGGUGGUACCACUCUUUUUUCUUAUCUUUCUUUUGGGGUGCGGGGAAGGACUUGAUGUUUUGGAUUAUUCUUUUGGAUUCGGACUUUGGAUUAAAACAGAGAAAUACUUCCAGGAAAUCCUUUGCGGACAUUAUUCUCUUUAAAAAAGAACACAAAUUUUUGAACACUUAAUUAUUUAGGGUUUUUUUGCUGAUAGAAACUAAGUGAUUUAAAUCUAACCUAUAAUUAUUUCUUGAGGGAUUUUUGGUUACAGAUCAAUUUAUCAGAAUAACUAUUAUUUCUUAGUAUUGUGAUUUUUGAAUAAAUAAUUGUUGCUAAAAAUCAACAUGGUUCAUAUUGAGCGGUUGGAUAUUUAUUUUCUUAUCAAGUUAAAUGGUAUAACAUAUUUUACCUGUUUCCUUGCAACAGAUCCCCACUGGGUGUAUUAUGAGUUCCGUUUUAAAUCAAGCUGAAUUGUGCAACCCGACUUGAUGAUCUGUGCAGUUCUUUCUUUCAGAUCUCACAAUUCUAGAAUUGUGCCGCUGAGGGUGGCAACAUGUUGAAGUAGUUCUGUGUUCCUUCCAGACUUUUUCUUUUUUUCAAACAUUCAUUCCUGCUUUUUUUGAAGAAAAUAGCUUUUUUGGACAGCUAUUCUUUGUUUUGGAUUUUGUGUGGUUGGACUAUUCUUAAGGCAAUAGUAUUUUUGCGAUCUUGUUAUGCUGUGUAACCAUAGCAACAGGGUAGUGUACAACAAGGAGCAGCUCAUCAAUGUCAGAAAAGCUCAAAUAAUAGCACAACUGAAGCCAGAAAUCCCAGAGGAGUAGAAAAGGAGGCGUCGUGGAUGCAGAGCAGGAGCAAAAAGGAAAGAAAGAAGGAGGAAAUUCAAGCUAUCUCUUCCAUCCAUCAUAAUGGGCAACGUAAGAUAGUUAGCAAACGAGAUGGAUGAACUUCAACCCCCAACAAGGACUCAGCAAGAAUGUAAGGAAUGCAGCACAAUGUGUUUUACGGAGACACGGCUGCAGGAUUAUAUCCCCGACUCCAACGUCUCUCUGCCAGGCUUCGUGUGAGCAGACAGAGAUUUAGAGAGCAGCAGGAAAAGCAAGAGAGGUGGAUUAGCAGUGUCUGUGAACAACAGAUGGUGUCAUCAGGACUUUACUGUGAAAAAAUAGGCUCCAUGACGUCAGCUCUGCAAAACACUCAGCUAAGGGGAAGAGAGGAAGAACAGAGCAAGCAAGCAAGAGAGUGAGUGGCUGCUUGGAGUCCAAAAUCCCAACAGAAGGAAACCAUCUAGCACUGCGUAAUCCCCAUCCUGCUGGGCAAUUCUGAGAGCUGAACAACCAAAAAAU